rnacentral:rRNA from 1 species
AUCCAGCAAUGCCGCGUGAGUGAAGAAGGCCUUCGGGUUGUAAAGCUCUUUUGUCAGGGAAGAAAAGGCUGCGGCUAAUAUCUGCGGCUCAUGACGGUACCUGAAGAAUAAGCACCGGCUAACUACGUGCCAGCAGCCGCGGUAAUACGUAGGGUGCAAGCGUUAAUCGGAAUUACUGGGCGUAAAGCGUGCGCAGGCGGUUUUGUAAGACUGUCGUGAAAUCCCCGGGCUCAACCUGGGAAUGGCGAUGGUGACUGCAAGGCUAGAGUUUGGCAGAGGGGGGUAGAAUUCCACGUGUAGCAGUGAAAUGCGUAGAUAUGUGGAGGAACACCGAUGGCGAAGGCAGCCCCCUGGGUCAAAACUGACGCUCAUGCACGAAAGCGUGGGGAGCAAACAGGAAUAGAUACCCUGG